rnacentral:rRNA from 1 species
GACGAACGCUGGCGGCGUGCCUAAUACAUGCAAGUAGAACGCAGUUGCGAACGGGUGAGUAACGCCUAGGUAACUGCCUGGUAGCGGGGGAUAACUAUUGGAAACGAUAGCUAAUACCGCAUACUACCAGAUGGACCUGCGUUGUAUUAGCUAGUUGGUUGGGUAACGGCCAACCAAGGCAACGAUACAUAGCCGACCUGGGAGGGUGAUCGGCCACAACGGGACUGAGACACGGGCCAGACUCCUACGGGAGGCAGCAGUAGGGGAUCUUCGGCAAUGGGGGGAACCCUUACCGAGCAACGCCGCGUGAGUGGAGAAGGUUUUCGGAUCGUAAAGCUCUGUUGUUAAGGAAGCGGUACUUAACCAGAAAGGGACGGCUAACUACGUGCCAGCAGCCGCGGUAAUUC